rnacentral:rRNA from 1 species
UACAGAGGGUGCAAGCGUUAAUCGGAAUUGCUGGGCGUAAAGCGCGCGUAGGUGGUUCGUUAAGUUGGAUGUGAAAUCCCCGGGCUCAACCUGGGAACUGCAUUCAAAACUGACGAGCUAGAGUAUGGUAGAGGGUGGUGGAAUUUCCUGUGUAGCGGUGAAAUGCGUAGAUAUAGGAAGGAACACCAGUGGCGAAGGCGACCACCUGGACUGAUACUGACACUGAGGUGCGAAAGCGUGGGGAGCAAACAGG